rnacentral:lncRNA from 1 species
UGAUAAUCAGAAUGUCCUCCCUACAUUUAAGUUCAGUUAUUCAUGAGAAGGUUUAGUACAUUUUCAUAGAUUGUCCUUGCAUUAGAGAAAAUAACAAUUACAAUAUAUGAUGUAAUUACAUUUAUGACUCAUUGUUACAUCCUUUAGUGUGAGUGUGUGACACACAUGUUCAUUCACAUGAUCUUUUAUUUUUCUUCUUUCUCAACACCAAAGGUGCUUUUAUUCAGCUGAAGCAAAUAAAAUAUGUACCUCAACAAAAUUUCAUAUGAAAACUAAAUUUGUAGAGCAUAUCUGUCUAAGCUACAGCACCAAAG